CCUACGGGUGGCAGCAGUGGGGAAUAUUGGACAAUGGGCGAAAGCCUGAUCCAGCCAUGCCGCGUGUGUGAAGAAGGCCUUCGGGUUGUAAAGCACUUUCAGUGGGGAAGAAAGCCUUGGGGCUAAUACCCUCGAGGAAGGACAUCACCCACAGAAGAAGCACCGGCUAACUCCGUGCCAGCAGCCGCGGUAAUACGGAGGGUGCGAGCGUUAAUCGGAAUUACUGGGCGUAAAGCGCGCGUAGGCGGUCUGAUAAGCCGGUUGUGAAAGCCCCGGGCUCAACCUGGGAACGGCAUCCGGAACUGUCAGGCUAGAGUGCAGGAGGGGAAGGUAGAAUUCCCGGUGUAGCGGUGAAAUGCGUAGAGAUCGGGAGGAAUACCAGUGGCGAAGGCGGCCUUCUGGACUGACACUGACGCUGAGGUGCGAAAGCGUGGGUAGCAAACAGGAUUAGAUACCCCAGUAGUC
rnacentral:rRNA from 1 species